rnacentral:rRNA from 1 species
UACGAAGGGGGCUAGCGUUGCUCGGAAUCACUGGGCGUAAAGCGCGCGUAGGCGGAUUGUUAAGUCAGGGGUGAAAUCCUGGAGCUCAACUCCAGAACUGCCUUUGAUACUGGCGAUCUCGAGUCCGGGAGAGGUGAGUGGAACUGCGAGUGUAGAGGUGAAAUUCGUAGAUAUUCGCAAGAACCCCAGUGGCGAAGGCGGCUCACUGGCCCGGUACUGACGCUGAGGUGCGAAAGCGUGGGGAGCAAACAGG